AACACACGGAAAAACAAAGUGGUGGGGAGGGGGGGGGGGGGGUCGUGGUGCACACUCGGAAAAGCUCUUGCACACAAACAGAGUCCUUCGGCUUUCAGCUUUCAAGACGCCAUAUUGAAGCACAGCGAGAGUGCGUUACCGCCCCCCCCCCCCCCCCUCCAUGGUGGGAGAGGAUGACAGGAUGGGCUAUGGGACUCAUGCACUCGGCGUCCUGGUCCUACGGACACGGGUCAACGCAGCGCAUCGUCCUCACGUCAUCUCCGUUCUCUCGUCACUGGUUAUUUGAUCGGACCCCCCCCCCCCCGUCUAUUGACCGCGGCCUGAUGAGUUUUAUCCUUGCUACGCGUCCAGUAUUAUCAAAGUGUUCAAAUACUUUCUAUGUGUACCGAUGAAUUGAUUACUGACAGUAACAUUUAUUGUCAAAAGUACGACCGUUACAGAGUAGCUGCAGACUCCACAUACUCGAUCCAGGUUAUUGGGGAACAACUUGGGUAAGACGUGACUUCUAGCAAUACUCGCAGAACAUAACUGAGCACAAAAAGCAAGUCAUUAUUCAACCCAAUAUACUGGCAUUAGUCCCUGUGUAUCUAUAUUGUGUAUGCAGUUGAAAAACUCAUGUAGCGAACCCAAUAUCAAAGUUUUCCCCAUAACAACCUCUCUCCCUCUCCAUCCUCCUGAACGUACAACCAGCAGUAGAUUCUUCCAUCCACGACUCUGAGCCUAAGUUAUGUCAUUAUACCAUUUGUAAAAAGUCAAUAGAAGUAAAAUAAAAAUAAAAAAAAUCACAUAAGAUGUUAAAAGAAAGAAAAAAAAUAAUUGUUAUCGUCACAAAGUUAGCAAUGACCCUCAUUGUCUUGCGACCCUCCCCCACAAACUCUCGCUUCUUCCUAUUCAUAAAUCUGUCUGCAACCCUGGGCUGGACCCCACAGCUUCCAUCUGAAACCUCCACUGACCUCUGACCUUCCCUGGCCGCACCCUUUCCCCGCCCAUUCUCGCAUGCGCCACAGAGCCUUGCUGCACUGCUUUUAUUAUUCCAUUUGAAGCUUGUUGGAACAACUCUGGAUCCCGCCCCCCUACUCUGAUGUCAUCUAGGCAGGGCGACGCUCUGAGAGGCUGGUGCACGGUUGCAUUAGUAUGGAUGCGAUGCAGAAGACACAAGAAAUAGAGAGUGUGUGUGUGUGUGUGUGUUCAGAUACACUCACCAGCUGCAGCACUGCCUGGAUGACAUCACGCCUGCCAGCCAACCAACUGUAGAAUGCAAAAAGCAAUGCAAGUGUGGCAUGUCUCUGUACCCGGUGUGUGUAUACGGUGCCUGCCCUUGAAAAAUGUAAGAAAAUAACUAAUUUAAAUUGAAUAUAUAUGUCUCUGUGUACAUACAUAUUAUAUAUACACACAGACAUAUAUUCAAUACAAUAUAUAUAUAUAUCAACAAAAUAAGUUUCUUUUUAAAUUAACAUAUAAAUGAAAUGUGUGUUUCUUCGCUUGGAAAAAAAAAAACUAGAACUGUAUCAUUUGCAUGAAAUGUGUCUUUGAAUGCAAAAAAAAAAGAAAUUAGGGGAAGAAAGUCCUAGCACAUGGCAUACAGUGGAACCAUAGACUGGUAAUGUUUUAUGAUCAUUUGUUUUAUUUUAAAUUAUCUUAGUUAUCUAGGAGUGAAAUGAAUACCAGCUUCAGAUGUAUCCGCCAGAGGACGAGAAAAGUUAGUUUCCUGGCUUGAUCUCAAUGGAGUUGAGGGUAUACAUGACCUAAGAUCGCCAUGACGCAAGAGGCAAACGUGUGUUCCCGUGCAGUACAGUGAACAUUCUUUCAUCAAGUCCUUCGCCAGCUUUAUCUGCAUAUGGAGGCAGCAAGACCGCGUGAAGGUUCUCCAGUGGUGGUCGAAUGCCUACAGAUGUGCAGUCCAUAGAAGUUUAUUUUGCCUCUGGCUUUGGAUUAAACUCCCCACAUAUGUAAUAAUCAGGGAUGCUUACGUACGUCAGGUCCCUUCAGCCACAGGCAGAGGAGACUUGACUAGUGAAAAGGACUUUUUAAUUUAAAUCAAAGCCCACCUAAGAUUUCUCUAAGGACAUCCUACAAAGUGAACAAGCGAGGCACAAUAGCACUGAAAGCAUCAAACACGCCACAUCGGGGGUUUCCUCGCGGAGGACGCACCGCUUUGAUGCACCUGCUUUGAACUCGGUUACAGCCGAAGUGAGAAAAGAGGACCCUACUGCACUAGGCCUUCAUAAAGUACUUAAAAACAGUCCCUGCUAGCGUCAAAUGACUUAGGCCAGUGAUGUCCUCACCGUUCCUCGUGGGGCUCGGGUCUGAAGGUGGAGAGGGAAGGCGGUGCGCCGAUGGUUGGAUUCUGUGAAGCCUGUCUGAGCCAUUUCCACUGCUGCCAAUCUUUGAAAUUUGAAAAUACAAAGAAAUCACGAUCCGUACUGGUACACAUUCUGAACCGAGGUAAUGUCCUUGAAGCCGAGGCCUUUAUGCACUGAAAUCAUACGCUGGACUUCAGAUAUCUUGUGGACGGCUGAUGGUAGUUAUAGGGGAGAUUCUUGAAUUGUAAAGUGCACUGACGACGAUGCGUUUAUUUUAGUCCGUUUUCUACUUGAAUGCUUUUGCCCUGUGAGGACACAUCUCUCAUUUAAAACUGUUAAAGCGUAGUUCAUGUUGGAAUGCACUAAUUAAAACUGUAUGCAACUUCUAGCAGAGUGUACAUUUAGUUACAAUCAAUUCCUCUGAAAUGUUCUGGUGAUGUACGAUCCAAAAACAAUCUCACAAUGGUUUUAUUUUUAUGUUUUUCUGGGAUUCGUUUGGAGCGUGGCGUCCUCUUUGGGCGAGGUGUGAGAAGCUACGCUGCGUAAAGGCCUCUCCCGAUGCAGGAGACGGCUCUUUUAGUUUCGAGUGCUUUAGAACCCAAAAAUUAUCACGCGAUCACCGUCUUUCUCACCGACGGCGGUCAGGAGGCCACUGAAGCCAAAGCUCCAACUUUAGCAGUUUUUAAAAUCCUCCUGUUGAAAAUAUCGGCAUUUGUCACGGUGAAUAUUUUAUUGAGUUUGUCUGCUGGUGAAGGAGCGUAGAAUUCAGAGCUGCACAGCUGUACAGGUCCUGUGGGUGUGGCGAGCUCCUGAUGGGCGUGAGCUCGGGGGGGUGAACACUCGCAGGCGCGAAUGUAAAAUGACAACAUUUAAGAUCUCAAAAAGAUUUCUAUGUUUUACAUCUUUGCUGGUUGAUUUCUUUUUUUUUUCUUCUUCUUACUUUAUGAUCGGGAAGAACAGGAGGUGAAGCAGCUUCAUUAGAUGUUACACAUUGUAAAAAAGCCUUCUCUUUUGUUUAUGUGUUAUCGAACCAAUCCAAUGGGGGAGUUCAGUUAAUGUCAGCAAUUAUAGCCAUGAGGAUGUGUGCCACAGAGUCUACUUACAUGUCACGGUCGCCAUGGCAGCUAGUGGAAGCGCAUGCUGUUGCCCUUGACAACUGCAGUCUUCAGAGGGACCCUUGGGCCGUGGCUCCUGUUAAUGGCACAGGGCAUUACAGUGAAAGCAUCACUCAGUCAACUGAACUCAAUCAUAAAUUAACUUAAUAAUCUAAAACAAUACCAACCUUCAAGAGA
ensembl:lncRNA